rnacentral:other from 1 species
CUUCACUGCCGCACAGGUAGCUCAGAAA